ACGAAGGGUGCAAGCGUUAAUCGGAAUUACUGGGCGUAAAGCGCGUGUAGGCGGUUGGUUAAGUCGGAUGUGAAAGCCCCGGGCUCAACCUGGGAAUUGCAUUUGAUACUGACUGGCUAGAAUGUGGUAGAGGGAGGCGGAAUUCCCGGUGUAGCGGUGAAAUGCGUAGAUAUCGGGAAGAACACCAAUGGCGAAGGCAGCCUCCUGGGCCAACAUUGACGCUGAGACGCGAAAGCGUGGGGAGCAAACAG
rnacentral:rRNA from 1 species